ensembl:processed_transcript
CUAGUUUUCAAGUGCCAUGUCAGCUUCAAAGUGUUCAGACUCAGCUUUCACAAUUAUUUCAACUCCAGCGACUACUCUAGGAACAGUUACAUGUAGCUGUAGCCGGUUUUGAAACAAUAUGACAACAGAAGUGAAUGACUGGCCGCACUUCAUCUUACAGAAACUGCCAUUGCAAGAAGCAUUCAUUUACAUCAUAAGGUGACAUUCCAGUGCCUGCCUUAAAAUAUCACACUUUCUUCAACUCGCUCAAAGUCAGAAAGAAAUGGAAAGUGCUCCUGAAAACAAAAGGUCACCAAUAGCAAAUUACGAGUAUAAAGUGGAGCAACGUGCCAUGAAGCACAGAGAAAUCAGCCACCGGAAUAACACAACGACAUGUCGCAGUCCCACCAGAGAUCUGGACACAAGGCAGAUGAAAAAUGAACUGCAUCUCAAAAGACAGUCUGAGUUCUUCAAAAGAAGACCUGUGGACCAUGGUACAUGCUCACUGUUAUCUCCAGUGCCAAGGCGCAGAUACCCAAGGGAAACCCUGCAUGCCACACAGCAUAUGACGCACACCUUAACGUCAAUCAGACGGCCCUUGAUAACAAGUCAAAAUGUAAAGCUUCAGAGAGAUGGCAUAACCUUGGCAAAGCAGGUCUCUACAUCUUUCAAGAAUGAGGAAAAUGAGCUGAGAUCAGAUGUAUGGGAAAUUCCGGGCCUCAGUUCUGUUCAGCUUCGGGGGAAAGUGAAAAAGG